GACGAACGCUGGCGGCGUGCUUAACACAUGCAAGUCGAACGGAAAGGCCUGCUUUCCCUUGUGGUUUGCGGGUACUCGAGUGGCGAACGGGUGAGUAACACGUGAGUGAUCUGCCCCCAACUUGGGUAUAAGCCUGGGAAACUGGGUCUAAUUCCCGAUAGGACUGCAGGGUGGUGCCUGUGGUGGGAAACGAUUUUCUAGUGGUUGGGGAUGAGCUCGCGGCCUAUCAGCUUGUUGGUGGGGUAAUGGCCUACCAAGGCGGCGACGGGUAGCCGGCCUGAGAGGGUGGACGGCCACAUUGGGACUGAGAUACGGCCCAGACGCCUACGGGAGGCAGCAGUGGGGAAUAUUGCACAAUGGGCGGAAGCCUGAUGCAGCGACGCCGCGUGGGGGAUGACGGCAUUCGGGUUGUAAACUCCUUUCGACCGCGAGGAAGCCACCUGGUUGGAAGGGUGGUGACGGUAGUGGUAGAAGAAGCACCGGCUAACUACGUG
rnacentral:rRNA from 1 species